rnacentral:rRNA from 1 species
UACGUAGGGGGCAAGCGUUGUCCGGAUUUAUUGGGCGUAAAGAGCGUGUAGGCGGCUUUACAGGUCCGUUGUGAAAACUCGAGGCUCAACCUCGAGACGCCGGUGGAAACCGUAAAGCUAGAGUCCGGAAGAGGAGAGUGGAAUUCCUGGUGUAGCGGUGAAAUGCGCAGAUAUCUGGAGGAACACCGGUGGCGAAGGCGGCAUCCUGGACCGACAUUGACGCUGAGGCGCGAAAGCCAGGGGAGCAAACGGG